rnacentral:lncRNA from 1 species
CCUUCUCUGGAGGAAGCAACCCUGCACAGAGGGAAAGAAGAAUCUCAACAUACAGUCCUCAGCAGCUUUAGCAUGGGCAACAAAUUAAGUCUCUGUAAAAGGCCCAAAGGACAGGGUUUGGUGAGAUUCUGGAGAGCUGGAAACAUGGAGGUUGACAGGAAUGUAAAGAAGAACUCAUUUACAUGCCAGGAGGGUGGAACACCCCAAUUCCAUGAGGAUAACUGCUCCUGUACUCCAGACCUCACCCCAUGUGUCUCUUCAUCUGGCUGGUUAUUUGUCCUUUAAGAUCUCCUUACUCAACCAGUAAAUACUAAGAUUGAAAUUGGAACAUAGAAUGUCACCACAUGAAUCCUCUAGAUUGACAGAGAAUGUGGUUGAGGGAGGAAUGGUAAAGAAUUAACUAUUUUAAAACAAUUUCAUUGCAUAUGAAAAUUCUAAAAGAAUAUGUUCUUUAGCCACAGGAAAUGGUUUUUAAUAAUAAUAGUGGUUCGGAUAAUAAUGGAAUAGAAAUAGAGCAUUGUUAUAAACUUGUAUGAAUGCAAAAAUUUUUGACUAAACCUUUAAAAAGAAGUCAAGUCCUAUUCUUGAAGCAAUUCAUAAAUUUUACCAAGAUGGGUGUCUUUACAUUGUUUUAGUCUUGAACUAGAAGAUGAAAGCAUCAAAUAAAGAAAUAUACUGUGGGUAUAUGGAUUACAAAAAAAGGAGAUCUGUGGAAGUUUGAAGUUGAGAAUGAUGACCUAGAGUAUCUGGUGGAAGAAAUUUCUAAGCAGCAAAGUGUUCAAGAUGUGGCCUGGAUGCUUCUAACAACCUAUGCUCAGAUGUAGGCACAAAGGAAUGACUUACAUUUGGAACUUACAUUUAAACAGGAAGCAGAGCCUAAAAGUUCAGAAAAUUUGCAGGCUGAUCAUGUGGCAAAUAAAUAAAAACCUUUUACAAGAGAGAAACUCAAGCAGGCUGUUGAGCAACCAUUUGCUAGAGAUAUCUGCAUAACUGAAAAGGAGCCAAAUGCUAAUAGCCAAGACAAUGGGAAAAAGGUUUCAGUGACAUUUCAGAGAACUUCCUGGCAGCCCUUCUUACCACAGGCCCUGAAGCCUAGGAGGACUGAAUGGUUUUGUAGGCCAGGCCCAGUACCUUGCUAGCCUGCACAGCCUUGAGACACGGCUCCCCAAAUUCUGGUCACUCUGGCCCCAGCCUCAGCUCAAAGGGGCACUGGUAAAACUUGGGCCAUCACUUCAGAGGACACGAGCUAUAAUCAUUGGCAGAUUCCACAUGGUGUUAAGCAUGUGGGUGCACAGAGUGCAAGAGUUAAGAAGGCUUGGUAGCCUCUGCCUAGACUUCAGAGGAUGUAUAGAAAAGGCUGGUGUUCAGGCAGAAGGCUGCUGCAGGAGUGGAGCCCUCACAGAGAACUUCUAGUAGAGCAGUGGGGAGGGGAAAUGUGGGUUUGGAAGCCCACAGAGUCCCCAGUGGGGUAUUGCCUAAUGAAGCUGUGAGAAGGGGGCCACCAUCAUCCAGAACCAAGAAUGGUAGAUCCAUUGGCAGCUUGCACUCUAUGCCUGGAAAAGCUGCAGGCACUCAGCUGUAGCACUUGAGAGGAGCCAUGGGGCUACAUCCUGCAAAUUCACAGGGGAAGAGCUGCCCAAAGCCUUGGGAGCCCACCCCUUGCAUUAACGUGCCAUGGAUGUGAGGCAUGGAGUCAAAAGAGAUUAUUUCAGAGCUUUAAGAUUUAAUGACUGUCCUGCUAGUUUUCGGACCUGUGUGAGCUCUAGUCCCUUUCUUUGCCUGACUUCUUUCUCUUGUAAUGGGAAUGUUUACCCAAUGCUGGCACCCUCAUUGUAUCUUGGAAGUAAAUGACUUGUUUUGAUUUUACAGGCUCACAGGUGGAAGGAACUCAUUUUCAGAUGGGACUUUGGACUUGGGACUUUUGAUUGAGUUGUUGCAGAAAUGAGUUAAGAUUUUGGGGAAUUGCUGAGAAGGCAUGAUUGUAUUUUGCCAUGUGAAAAGAAUAGGUAAUUUGGGGGAAGACAAGGGUAGAAUGAUAUAGUUUAGGUAUUUGUCCACACUGAAAUUUCAUGUUGAAUUGUAAUCCCCAAUGUUGGAAGUGUGGCCUGGUGGGAGGUGUUUAGGUCAUGGGGGUUGAUCCCUCAUGUCUUGGUGCUGUCCUCUCAAUAAUGAAUGAGUUCUCUCAAGAUUUGGUUGUUGUAAAGUGUGGUACCUCCACCCCCAACUCUUUCUCUUGCUCCUACAUUCACCAUGUCAAGUACCUGUUCCCACUUUGCCUUCCACCAUGAUUGUGAAGUUCCUGAGGCCUCUCGGAAAGCAGAUGCCAGCACUAUGCUUCCUGUACAGCCUGCAAAACUGUGAGCCAAUUAAACCUCUUUUCUUAUAAAGUACCCAGUCUCAGGUAUUUCUUUAUAGCAAUGCAAGAACAGCCUAAUACAAUCAGUAAAUAUGUCAGAUUCUACAAUGAGGCUACUAUAAUGUGAAGAUAUUUUUCUUAAUCAUUUACAUUUACAAAUAGACUAAAAUUCUUGUUUUAUGUUAUUGUCUUAGUUCAUUUUGUGCUGCUAUAACGGAAUACUACAGACUGGUAAUUAAUAAACAACAGAAGUUUAUUUGGCUCAUGUCUCUGGAGAUUGGGAAGUCUAAGACUGAGGGGCCUCAUCUAGUGAAGGUCUUGCUAUGUCAUAACAUAACAUGGUGGAAGUCAUCACAUGGUGAAAGCAUGUGUAAAAGAGGAAGACAGGAGAACUCAUACUCUUAUCAGGAUCCCACUCCCACAAUAUCUAGCCCUCUCCCAGGAUAACAGCACUGAUUAUCUUAGAAGGGUCUCAACUCUCAGGACUGUUGCAUUGGGGAUUACAUUUCAAACACGUGGAUCUUGGGAGACACAUUUAAACCACAACAGUGAUGUUUUGAAUAAUAAAUAUACAUCUACAAAUGUGUUUCUUCCACCUGGCAAUGCCUUCUUCUGAUAGUUUUAUUCUGCAAAUUUCAAUUAUUCAAAUAAAAUUUCCUCAUUGGCCCUCUUUAACACUUUUUCCUCUGAAAUCUUAUAUUACUUGUUGCUUUACAAAUACUCUUUAAAAAUUAUUCCACACUGGUAUCUAAAUUCUUCCUUUUUUCCCAGUCUUAUCUUCCCAAUUGGCUUUUAAUUUCCAUCAGGAAAGGAUCCAUGUGUUUUGACUUCUUGGUACUGCUCACAGUAAUACGUAAAUAAUUAAGAUUUAAUAUAAUUGGGUUUAAUUUAAUUUCAUGUAGAUUCCAAUUGAUUUUUCCAAUUAGAUGUGUGAGAUUUUUAUUCAUUAAAAUACGCAAUUAUACUAGCAUCCAUUUUUACUUGUCCAAAGAAUGAGCUAAGAUUUAAGUUAUAUUUUGCGAUCUUGAGAUACAUUUCAUAUGCUCUUCGUUGAAUCACUUUUCUAUUCAUCUUCAAAUUCCAGCUAUAAAAUAUGAUAUGCAAUUGUCUUAGCUCAGAUUGAUCACAAAUCCUUGUUCUACAAGAUACCAUGUAUUCAUAUAUUCAUAAAAAUAUCAACAGAAAUAAUAUAUUAAUAAAUAUUUAAGUAUGUAAUUUCAGAAAGAGAUGGUAAUGUAUCAGGACAGAUUUUAGUUAGGAGACACAAUAUGCUUAUCCGAGCACAAAGUUGGUUUUUAUCAAUUGAUGUUAGUUUUUGAUUAUAUACUAUAUGUAAGUUCUCUAUUUAUAAUUAUAAUUUUCUCAUUAAUAAUAAUAAUAAAUCAUACCUAUAUUGUACCUUGAAAUUAUCAAAGCCCCUUUCAUUUCCACCUCAUUUUCUCUCUUUCUCUUUUUCUCUUUCUUUUUCCCUGUUCUUUUAGUCUCUGUCUCUCCUUCAGAAAAAAUAUCAGUUACUUAGCAGGACAUAUAUUAUUGUUUCCAUGUUACAGGUUGGAAAGUGCUGGAUGUUCCAUGCCCUCAAACAUUGGACUCCAAGCUCUUCAGCUUUGGGACUUCAACUGGCUUCCUUGCUCCUCGGCUUACAGAUGGCCUAUUGUGGGACCCUGUGAUCGUGUGAGUUAAUAUGCCUUAAUAAACUCACCUUUAUACAUACAUCAAUCCUAUUAGUUCUGUCCCUCUAGAGAACUGUGACUAAUACAGAUUUUGGUACCAGGAGUGGUUCUAGAGGAAAAGAAUAUUAAAAAUGGAGUUCUUUUGUUGGUUUUCAGGUUUCUGGAGUUGGCUUCUUAAAGUGAUUAGCCAUAAAAAUGCUAAGGACUCUAAUUCUAAUAGUAUGGAGAACAGACAGUCCUUGGUGUGAACAAUUUAGAGAGUUAUUAUGCAAAAUAAAUGCAUUUGAUACUCUUGAUUCACCGCUCAUGAAAGGCAAGGAGUUUAGUGACUCAAUACCUAAUACCUUUGACCAUAUGUGGAGAACCAAGGAACAUAAUGAAGUUGGUUGGUUG